rnacentral:tRNA from 1 species
AGUAUAUGUAAUUUAAAAAAAAUAUCAGGCUGCGAUCCUGACAUUAGGAAUUAGCCCUCAUACA